UACGUAGGGGGCAAGCGUUGUCCGGAUUUAUUGGGCGUAAAGCGCUCGCAGGUGGUUCGAUACGUCGUGCGUGAAAGGCCCCGGCUCAACUGGGGAGUGUCGUGCGAUACGGUCGGACUGGAGGCCAGUAGGGGGAUGCGGAAUUCCGGGUGUAGUGGUGGAAUGCGUAGAGAUCCGGAGGAACACCAGCGGCGAAGGCGGCAUCCUGGACUGGUCCUGACACUCAUGAGCGAAAGCGUGGGGAGCGAUCCGG
rnacentral:rRNA from 1 species